CUUCUGAUGUCAGCCAGAGAAACGAGGGAAGUAGCAUGCUAAGAGGAAGAGAAAACCAGGAUAAAACCUCGGAGUUUACCUCUGAAAAGAAAAAAAAAAAACAGUUGGAGCACUUACCCAGUGGAGGUCCGGAGCCAAGUGACUGAACGAAGGAGAGAGUUACGUCGGCUAACCACUUGCCUUUCACCCAGAGAGCCGCAGCAAGGUCCAACAUCGGCGUGCUCCGCCUUGAUACACAGAGAGCAACGGUCAGGUUUUUUGGAGGACUGAAGAGUCUGAGGUUCAGGACAAACUUCCUGCUGUAACAGAUGCAGUGAAAUCAUCAAUAAAUGGCUGUUCUAGCAGCAGCCAUAGAUGCCCAACAGAACCAGCACCAUGUUGGACAGAUGAGGUAUUUUGGCUCAUGAGCUGUUGCUUUGUCCCUCCCCCACACUUCUUUCCUUUGUUUGAUAGGAGCUGAUUUUAGUUUCAUCAGCUGGGAGCAUGUUGUUCCACAAAUGCCUUGGUUUCUUUCUUUAUUUUUUGAACUGCGGUCUCAAACCUUCUGCGUUUGCUGCUUAGCAACGGUUGGUAUCUUAUGGUCAUUGACAAUGAAACAUGUUCACUUGCAUCUGGGAC
ensembl:lncRNA